UGGGCCGUAGCCAAGCGGUAAGGCAACGGACUUUGACUCCGUCAUCCCGAUGGUUCGAAUCCAUCCAGCCCAGCCA
rnacentral:tRNA from 1 species